rnacentral:rRNA from 1 species
AUAUUGGUCAAUGGGCGAGAGCCUGAACCAGCCAAGUAGCGUGAAGGAUGAAGGUCCUACGGAUUGUAAACUUCUUUUAUACGGGAAUAAAGUUUCCUACGUGUAGGAUUUUGUAUGUACCGUAUGAAUAAGCAUCGGCUAACUCCGUGCCAGCAGCCGCGGUAAUACGGAGGAUGCGAGCGUUAUCCGGAUUUAUUGGGUUUAAAGGGAGCGCAGACGGGAGAUUAAGUCAGUUGUGAAAGUUUGCGGCUCAACCGUAAAAUUGCAGUUGAUACCGGUUUCCUUGAGUGCAGUUGAGGCAGGCGGAAUUCGUGGUGUAGCGGUGAAAUGCUUAGAUAUCACGAAGAACCCCGAUUGCGAAGGCAGCUUGCUAAACUGUAACUGACGUUCAUGCUCGAAAGUGUGGGUAUCAAACAGG